rnacentral:rRNA from 1 species
UGGGUCAAGUUAUUAAGGGAUUACGGUGGAUGCCUUGGGUCCAAGAGCCGAAGAAGGGCGUAGUAAGACUGCGAUAAGCCUCGGCUAGCUGUCUAACAAGCUUAACCGGGGAUACCCGAAUGGGGAAACCCGUUCUGGGUCAUACCAGGACAUUCCGUAAGGAAAGGGAACCGCGUGAACUGAAACAUCUAAUUAACGCGAGGAGUAUAAAUCAACCGAGAUUCCCCUAGUAGUGGCGAACGAAAGGGGAAUAGCCUAAACCAGGCGGGCUUAGUGGAGUGAGGUCCUAUGUCCGUUUGGUGUUGCAACAUUUCUCCGCCUAAACCUCAAAUGAGGGCGAAGAGUAAGAAAUUUCUGAACUAGCCAAACGCACCUGGAAAGGACGACCGUAGAAGGUGAUAGUCCUGUAGGCGAAAGUGACGAAACUCUUGAGAAUUUGUUAAGUACCGCGAGACACGAGAAAUCUUGUGGGAAUCUGGGGAGACCACUCUCCAAGGCUAAAUACUCUUGGACACCGAUAGUGAACCAGUACUGUGAAGGAAAGGUGAAAAGUACCCCGAGAGGGGAGUGAAAUAGACCUGAAACCGUAAUCUUACAAGCCGUAGAAGGCUCGAUGCGUCGGGCUAACUGCGUGCCUAUUGAAGAAUGAGCCGGCGAGUUAAUUUGUGCAGCACGGUUAAGGAAUUGGAAUUCCGGAGCCAUAGCGAAAGCGAGUCUGAAUAGGGCGUUAAGUUGUAUGGAUUAGACCCGAAACCGUGUGAUCUACCCUUGGCCAGGUUGAAGCCCAGAUAGUCUCUGGGUGAAGGACCGAACCCGUGUCUGGUACAAAAGGCUGGGAUGAGCUGAGGGUAGGGGUAAAAUGCCAAUCGAACACGGAGAUAGCUGGUUCUCCCCGAAAUGUAUUUAGGUACAGCGUUCGGGUAGUCUUGUGGAGGUAGGGCACUGGAUAGGUAAGGGGGCGUGAGCCUACCAAACUUAACCAAACCACGAAUGCCGCAAGAUGGUCCCGGGCAGUGAGACAGUGGGGGAUAAGCUCCAUUGUCGAGAGGGAAACAGCCCAGACCGCAGGCUAAGGUCCCCAAGUGUGUGCUAAGUGUGAAACGAAGUUAAAUUGCUAAAACAGCUAGGAGGUUGGCUUAGAAGCAGCCAUCCUUUAAAGAGUGCGUAAUAGCUCACUAGUCGAGGAAUUUUGCGCGGAAAAUGUAACGGGGCUAAAGCACACCACCGAAGC